UAUUUGUGACGUAGUGUGCCUGGCUCUACUGAAGUGGUGACGUACUUAGUUCCAUUUUGUGUUAUAUUUUGUUAAAUCUUUAAUUCUCUUAAACAUGCAAGUGAUACGCAACGUGGUAACAGUCGCAGACCUGUUGCCUCUGUAUGGUUGCGUCGACCUUCCACCCUAUCGGACCAUGAGACUGUACUUAUAUUCAGAUCCAAGCAACCUGUAUCAAAGUAAUAAAACCGAAACUGUAAAAUAUUGCAGAACUUGUGAAAAAUAAUAACAAACUUUUACAAUAACACUGGAGCAAAAUACAA